rnacentral:lncRNA from 1 species
UCCGGGCGACAGAAAGUGAAGCCGAAGAAGAAACGACUCCACGCCAGCUUUAAGAACAAUUGAGGUGGGCAUUACUUUUAUUAUUACGUAUAUAGAGAUCCCCCUGCGUGACGUAGGCCUCAUAUGCGAAUAUAUAUGCAUGAUAUGUUUUGACUAUUUAUUCAGUUCUUAUAAAUGCUUAUAUGUUUAAUGCCCUUUAUGAAAAUGAAAAUGUUAUGAAAAUGAAAUGUUUAUGAAAUGAUUGACUGCCAAAAUGUUUAUGUUUUAUAUGUAUCCUAUCUGUGUUGGUUCGCCAACUUUAAAGGAAAUCCAAUUGGGAUCCUAUGCUAGACAAAGGUCGCUAGCUAGGGUUAACGUGUACACUCAUGGAGACCGCGAGUCGCUUGCGACCGGUCUUGGCGUCCGUGGUAAGGAGGCCUCCUUCCCGGCGCGUGACAGAAAGGACAGAUAUGGAUCAUAUAGACUGAAAAUGGGAUGCGCAUCCACCUUUAUGAAAAUGAAUGAAAUGUUUUAGUAAGCGCAGGUCAUUCAAGAAAACCCCUGUGUGUUACUGUUGGCAGUUCAAUUUAUAUAUGUAUGCAUGUUGUAUUUUCGGCUUAUGUCACUGAGUAUUUUUAUACUCAGCCCUGCAUGUAUUUCUAAAUGUGCAGGUUGAGCAGGCGAUGGAAUGGAUCGGUGUUGAGCGGAUUUCCCUUUUGAUGUUUAUGUAAUGAAACCUUGAGUAUGCAUCUCCAUAUGCAUAACUCACACGUUUUUUUCGCUGCAAACACUCUGACUUAUUUAUCAUUUCUACUUGAACUUAUUACUACUUCAUUUUAAUUAACUUUCAGUUGGGGUCUAGUCGUUAUGGCAGACUCAUUUGU